UAUGUGAUCGUCUCUCGCAUAUCAAUAAGCGGAGGAAAAGAAACUAACAAGGAUUCCCCUAGUAACGGCGAGUGAAGCGGGAAGAGCUCAAAUUUGAAAUCUUAAAGGGUUUCCCUUUACGAAUUGUAGUUUAAAGAAGUGUUUUUCUUUUGAGGUUUUGGUAAAAGUUCUUUGGAAUAGGACAUCAUAGAGGGUGAGAAUCCCGUAUUUGACCUUUACUUUCAACUUUGUGAUACACUUUCAAAGAGUCGGAUUGUUUGGGAAUGCAGUCCAAAAUGGGUGGUAAAUUUCAUCUAAAGCUAAAUAUUGGCGAGAGACCGAUAGCGAACAAGUACCGUGAGGGAAAGAUGAAAAGAACUUUGAAAAGAGAGUUAAACAGUACGUGAAAUUGUCAAAAGGGAAGCGUUUGACACCAGUGUUGUUUUUCUGAAAAUCAAUUAAAGAACUGUUUAUGCUAAGCUGUUUAGACUUUAUCAGCUAACUGUUUAGUUUUGAGCUUUUCUUUAAUGCACUUUUCAGUUAACAAGUCAACAUCAAUUUCUUUUGCUGUAAAAAAGCUUGAGGAAGGUGGCUUGAGAUUCGUCUUAAGUGUUUAUAGCCUCUUGCCUAUGCAGUCGGAGAGAUUGAGGUCUGCAGCGUAGAUCCUUCGGGGCUAAAUGCAUUUGUGCUAAGUUAUAGCAUUUUAUAGACAACUUGUUGACUAUGAUUUGUCUUGUAGCUUACUCGCUUAUGUUAUUUUACCUACGCUUAGGAUGUUGAGUAGCGACAUACGCAC
rnacentral:rRNA from 1 species